rnacentral:lncRNA from 1 species
CCUGCCUCAGCCUCCUGAGCCACUGGGAUUACAAGCAUGUGCCACCGUGCUCAGCUAGAUGUGUGCUUUGAUGGUGGACCUGCAUCUGCUUGAAUCUGCAGGACACUGGUACACAGGCAUUGCACAAAUGCUGCUAUGCACUUAUGUGAUACACAGCCCCCAUAUGUUGUGCACAAGAACACAAACAUGUGCAGUGCAUACUUGCGUUCACUAUCAUGGGUGUGUGCAGAGGCUGCAUGUGUCUGCAGAGAGCCAUGUGCCUGUGUACAUACGGUCCUCUCCAAAGACUGACGUCAUGGCCUACCUACCCUCUUAGGCUUUUGACUCACAAACAUGUGAAAUCUGUUUGCAAGUCAAUGCCACCAGGUCAGUGCCAUGGCAAGAUGUGUGGUGUCCUUGUGGAUGGCCCAAGGGCAUCUGAGGGUUUGAAGGAAGAGUGUUUGGGGACCGUAGCUUGGCAAAGGUGAGGGCUGAGCAUGAAGGGGUGAUGGGAGACGGGGAUGAAGACCUUGGCAGGGGCAGGACUUGGGGCAGAGAACACACUGGACUGAACCAGGGAGCCCCGAUCUUGCCCCCUCUACCUAUCUCUUUCAAGGUUCAGCCCCAAGUACCCGGGGAGAUGUUCCAGGGAGUCUUUAGGGGGUCCCAGGUUUGGUAGGAUGUGUCUGUACCCUGUCCGCGUGUCUGUGUGUCAGGCAAUCCUCCCUUGACUGCUGAGGGAACAAAGGGGUGAGAGGGACCCGAUAUGGGAAGUUGAGUCUCCUCUUUGGCUCCCAGGAAUUGGGUAGAAGAGUUGAAGCCAAAGUCUAGUUCUAGGAGUUGCUCUUUGAGCAGGCCUCAGGUAGCCAGCUCUCUGCCUGUGUGCAGGUGCAGGUGGGGCAUCGGCCAGCAGGGGGCACUCGGAGCCUGCAGAUGGUGUGAGCAACAGUGCCGUGGAGGGGAGGCCAAG